rnacentral:rRNA from 2 species
GUUCAGAACGUCGUGAGACAGUUCGGUCCCUAUCCGUCGUGGGCGUAGGAAAUUUGAGAGGAGCUGUCCUUAGUACGAGAGGACCGGGAUGGACACACCGCUGGUGUACCAGUUGUCUUGCCAAAGGCAUCGCUGGGUAGCUAUGUGUGGACGGGAUAAGUGCUGAAAGCAUCUAAGCAUGAAGCCCCCCUCAAGAUGAGAUUUCCCAUUACGCAAGUAAGUAAGAUCCCUCAAAGACGAUGAGGUAGAUAGGUUCGAGGUGGAAGUGUGGUGACACAUGGAGCUGACGAAUACUAAUCGAUCGAGGACUUAACCA